GGUAGAGAUCGGGUAAGGAGCUCAGACACUAGGGAGGUGCUCAGAUUAGAACCGCUGCUCCUCCACGUCGAGAGGAGUCAGCUGAGGUGGCUCGGGCAUCUGGUUAGGAUGCCUUCUGGACGCCUCCCGUCAGAGGUGUUCCAGACAUGUCCCACCAAGAGGAGACCUCGUGGCCAGGUGGACAGAUUAUAACUCUCACCUGGCCUGGGAGCGCCUGGGAAUCCCCUCGGAGGAGCUGGUGGAAGUGGCUGGGGUCAGGGCCGUCUGGGCUUCCCUCCUGAAGCUGCUGCCUCCGCGACCCGGACCUGGAUGAAGCAGAAGAAAACGACAACGACUUUCAGCACUAAGUAUCUAUAUCUAACACACCGAGGUAUGCCCUUGCCAUCAGCACUUUUAACCCAAACUAACAGUCACAAUAGUGUAACCAACAGUAUAAAUGCAGGCAAAAUUAUUGAUUAUGUUGCAGCAUCUUUUGACAUUAUUGCACUUUGUACCAGUACUUUAUUGAUUGUUAUCAGGAAAAAGGCUGUAAAUGUCAAUAUAAUGUGUGUGCAGAGCCACAGGCUGCAGUUUCAGGGCCGCAAUGCUACUACCCUCUUCAGCAAAAUGUCCUUAAUAAGUGUCAUGAUUCAUUUUAAGAGAGAUAUCAAAACUGCUGUCAAAAAUAUAAAGAAAAAUAAAUUUAUGUAAUGUCGGGCCAGUGCAGCUCGAAUCUAAUUUAAUGAGGUCUUAAAUGAGACAAGUUGACUCUGUAAGUUUUAAUUUUUUUGUGCACUGCAGAUCAACCAACCAGCUGAAAGUUUCUUUUAACCAAUGCUCAGUUAGCUAUUUAAAAAAAAAGAAUUAACUUUAAAUAGUCCACAGUUUUUGUCAGAAAAUAAUUUAGGGUCAUAAAAGUGUUGUUUUUCAAACCUACCACGCAAUAAGCUAGCGGCUAACUAUAUUUACAUACAACUUUUCAAAUUACAAGUUAUAAAGUGCUCAACAAAUCAUUAAACAACAGAAACAGGACAGGUGGUUUAAUAAAAAGGCAAAUAACGAUCAAAACAAAUAUUAGCAAAUAAAAUAAAUGACAAAUAAGGAAAAUCUAUAACUCACUAAACAUAAUAUAAUACGACAAAUCUAACUAAGUCCUGAAAAAGUCAGAGGACAAGUAGAUCCUUGCUGACAGGACUAAAAAACUGGGAAUAAAACAGACAUUUCUCUAAUAUUAUUUUUUAAUUUCCCUUAAUCAAAUGUCUUUAAAUUAGGAUUUAUGGUUGAUUUGCAAUCUUUAAACAAUUGUACACAACACAACUCCUCUUUUUUUCAAAAACUCGUUUUAUUUUGAAAGGCAAGUUGUCUAACUUCCGCUGCCUCACCGGCUUGACGCAGCUGCUUUCAUUAGGGUACACGCAUGCGCAGAAAGCUUUCAUAGCAGGGACUGGUGUUUGAAUUGGAGUCGAGGUGACAGAGGGAGAUGAGAGGCUGCUGCUGUUCAAAACUGCUCUUUUCAAAUCCAGAAAUAGCUGCAACAGAGUUUAAAAUAAAACUUAGAGAGACAGAUUCUCCCAUGAUGCAAUGGGGAAGUGUUCUGUUCUGCCUCUUUUUUAUAAAUCCAUAAAAACAACAAUUGCAUCAAAGUUUAAAUGUCUUAUUAUGAGUGCACGUGUUUGAUUGAUUUUUGAGUUUCUGCUCAUUUAAAAACAUCAACCAGACGCUCAAUUGUUAAUUACAUCUGAAGAUAAUUAUUUGUCACUGUGGUGGGUCUGUGUGUGUGUGUGUGUGUGUGUGUGUGUGUGUGUGUGUGUGUGUGUGUGUAUAAACAGGUUACACGCUGGGACACUUUCAUUUGAUUAAACCAGCGGUUGGUGACAAAGACCAUCUAUCUGUCUCAUCACUCCUUGGCGACAAAAGCCUUUUGACCCAGCACGCUCAGUGGCAGAUGGCCCUCCCACCGCCUCCCAUCCUCCCCCUCCUCUUGCUCCUGCCUCCCCCCUUUCUUAUCAACCCCCCCUGUUUCAAAUCCAUGUCCCUAACAAAGACUGGGGGGCCUCCAUUUUACCACGUUGAGACUUGCUCGCCACAGGGCAGCUUUCCCCUAAAUUACAUCCUGUUAAUUAAUGUAACACCCCCACCCAGCCCGCCCCACCCUCUGACGCUGACACAGGUGGAGGUUGUGACCCCCGUCCACGGAUCAAUAAUGAUUUCCCUCUUAGAUUCAUGCCACAGGGACUGAUGUGUGCCGCCUGAUCCCGCGGUGGCUGUUAGUCUGUUUGACAGCUGCAGACAGUAAAACCUCCGCGUCCUAAUCACCUCGAUGUGGAAUAAUCUGCCAUCAUCAGCCGUGUCUCUGAGGACGGAGAGCAGGACUGAUGAGUGAGGAUAGAUGUCUCUGUAUCACCACAGCUGAGGUUUUUAUGUGGACGAGAACAGGACUGCAACACUUUAAAAGCCCUAACCUCUAAAAAUGAUUCACGAGCCCAAUGUGAACUUGGCAAAACCGCCUCUUUAUGAGCAUAAUAGAGCAAAGUUGGGUGACUGGUGUUUUGAGGGGUCAGCCAGCACCUAACAGACACUUUAACGCACAGCCUGAGAUGGAGAUGAACCAGCACCUCACAUGUUUUCAGCAAAGAUGCUAUUUUUGGAAAAGGACAGAUUUCUUUGAAUGCAUCACACGUCCUGCAGUUGACGUCUGAGCGAAGCAUGAUGCAGGCCUCGCUGGACUGCUGCUCGCUCUGUCUGUCACACAGGCAGCAGGUCAGCAGCACCCAGGGUUGCUUAAGUAAAUGUAAACUUUUAGAAAUAUUUAGUCAGGGCUCUGGUUAAUCUCAGCAGCCAAAGUAAGCUCAGAAGCUGCAGCAGCCCUGAGCUCCACUUAGACCCUCAGCUCUGCGCUUCAUGUCCCCCCUGCUCCCCCGGCUCUCAUCAGUUGUCCAAAAACAAAACGGUUAAAAGGGAAAAAUCUGCAGAAGCUCUAUGAUCACUUUAUCAAAAGACCUGUUUUAUUAUCCUGAGAGCACAAGGACAGUAUCCUUGGAAAAAACAGAUUUACCGCUAUGACGGGGACAUGAGGUAAAAGAUACAUGGAUGCAUGUCCAUUUAGGGCUUCCAUAGAAAUCUGAACAAGAUACACAUCUUUUUUUUUUCUUUUUGCAGAGAACCAUGAGCAUCUUGUGACAAUGAUAUACCUUUAGGGCAGUGCAACAGCUCAGGCAGGCUCAAUUAUGCUCAUACAAGAGGUAAAGUGAAAAUCAACAAGUUUUUUAGGAUCAGACAAGCACGGUGCAGGGCUAAAGUCGACCUGUUGGUUUUUGUGAAAGCACUAACAAUGACUAAACCUGACUUAUGGAUGACCAAGACACAGACUAAGAGAUGGAGCUGAGGCGGGCUCUUCAUAGCUUCCUGGUAAACAACCACACUGACCUGUCAACUCAGCCGCAAAACCCCAAAUUAUCCAAAUUCGUUUAUAACUUAGCUUUGUAAUGUCAUAAUAACACAGUGACUGCCAAAGUCGGGAAUACAACCCCAAAGAUGGGCCCUUGGUUACAACAGAGGGGGCUUAAAACAAACUGUACACAGAUUUCUGCACUGCUAACAAAGACUGGCCAACUUUGUGAAAGAGCUGAUCAUCAAUCCAAACCAAAUUCACAAAAACUAAACCGUCGAAAAAUGAUAAAGCUUGACCUCAGCUUAAAAACCUGAAAGUCGUGUGCUGCUGUCACUCUCCACUUACUUGACUUGUGAAAUAAACUAACCAGCCUUCAUUUUUAGUUCAAUGUCACAGACUUAAAAGUUUGCAGUUCUGUUUCUUUUCUGCAGACGAUCCUCCGAGUAAAUCUAAAGACACAGGAAUUCAUUUGUAAAGGAUGAAUCUGUUUGUGCGGUGGAUGUCAUCAGAAUAAACUCAUCAUGAGACUGUUUGCUUUUCCCUCUCUCUAUGUGAGUGUUAGCGUGUGUGUGUGUGUGUGUGCUCAAACCGGUGAUGCACAUUUCUUUAGUGGCAGAAGAAGAGGGAGAUAUAAAUACUGAAGCAACGGACCAAUGAAUGCGCCCUUCACUUUUCAAGACAUUUGUGGGAGAAGCAGCUUAGCCUGCAGUCUAUUCCUGCAUUAGUCAGCUCUAUUGUGGCCGUCUUGCCAGCGGGGCAGGAUAAUGUAGAUGCACACACUCUCACACACACACACAAAGAUGCACACACACUCAGCUCCCUCACAUAUAUCAAGCCAAGGACACCAAAUAAGUGAUACAUUAACACACUGGACAUCGUCUGUUACCUUGCACUCUGUGUUGGUUCUACUUGUACCGCCAGAUUUUGCACUAUCAUCAUCCUGCACCACCUUAGGCCCGUCUUGUGAUGGUUCAGGUUCUGUUUUAAUGGUUUAAAUAGUUUUAAUGAGUGUAUCCUCUUCUCUAUAAGGUUCCCUGAGAGUCAUAGCACUCCUGUACAAAACUAUUGUUAUUCUGUAUUCAUUACUCUAGCACCAAAACACCAAAUCCUGGAAUGUGUGAAUCUACACGGCAAUAAACCCAACCUGGAUUCAUUUUCUGAUUCUGAAGGAUAUAAAGUGAACGGAGCAACAACAGACAUCGGUAAUUCAAUGUUUGUAGGAAUCAUCAGAGGGGUUCAGUGUAUUCAAACAACACAUCAAACAGAGAAAAUUCUGGAGAGUGUGUUUUCCAUCAGCAGCGGCGAGGCUCAGUAUUUCAUCUGGAGCUCUCAUCAGUGUAAAAAAAACCCUCGCUCCUUUUGUUUGUUGUGGGCUCUACAUGUUCAGGGUGUUUCUAAUCAACUCUCAUGGGCCCAUUUCCAACAAAUUACAUCUCAUCUGAAAUAGUAUUUCAGCUAAUUUCAUUUUGAU